UGGGGAAUAUUGCACAAUGGGGGAAACCCUGAUGCAGCAACGCCGCGUGAGUGAUGACGGUCUUCGGAUUGUAAAGCUCUGUCUUUGGGGACGAUAAUGACGGUACCCAAGGAGGAAGCCACGGCUAACUACGUGCCAGCAGCCGCGGUAAUACGUAGGUGGCGAGCGUUAUCCGGAAUUAUUGGGCGUAAAGGGAGCGUAGGCGGAUAAUUAAGUGGGAUGUGAAAUACUCAGGCUCAACCUGGGGGCUGCAUUCCAAACUGAUUAUCUAGAGUACAGGAGAGGAGAGUGGAAUUCCUAGUGUAGCGGUGAAAUGCGUAGAGAUUAGGAAGAACACCAGUGGCGAAGGCGACUCUCUGGACUGUAACUGACGCUGAGGCUCGAAAGCGUGGGGAGCAAACAGG
rnacentral:rRNA from 1 species